rnacentral:sRNA from 1 species
CCCUAGCCCCGAUAGAAGUGGAAAUCCUUUUGCUUUUUUCUUUAAAAAGCAAAAGAUUGUAACGAAUAGCGGGAUUAGCU